UUGUCGAGUCCUAUUCUUAUGAAAUAUCUCUUCCAAUUUCUCCAGAAUUCUAAUGGCCUGGAAGGUUGUGCUCAAGAUAGACACCUGUGACAAGUGCAAAGACGAAAUCAUCGCUGAGAUCUACCACAACGUCUCAGGUAUCAAGAAAUUGGAAGCGAUCGAUCCCUUGUAUGUCUUCACUGGAGAGUUCAAGGUAGACGAUGUCCUCGCAGUCACUGAGAGGAAGAAGAUAGAGAUCACGGUGUUGGCAAUCACGGAAGUUCCCAAGUACCCCAAAGACUGUUUAUGCAAUUCUCCCUAGUUUAUGAUCAGUCAAAGAUGCUAGCGAAUGUUCGUUGACUCUAGUCACUUAGCUAUGGACGGACCAGGCUUUCUUAGUUCCUCUUCUUCCCCGGCCGCUCCGGAAGAGUUCGUCAAAUCAGAGAUUUUCAAAGCCCGGAAGCUAUGAUCGCGAGUACAAGAGCUUGCUUCUCAGCAACAAGCUCCAUCCUCAAACUGACAAGGUAAAUUCUAGUUUCUUUCUCGUUCGUCUUUGUGCUUUUCGAUGUAGGCUGCUAAUGGAUGUGGAAGUUGGGCGACCAGAUGAUAUUCCUGGACUGGCGCAUUUGUUGGAACACAUGCUUUUCUUUUCCAGCGAGGAAUAUCCCUUGGAAUGAGAUUUUGCGAAGUUUCUUGUUGCGACAAAUGCAUGCACGAGCAAUGAAAAGACCAACUUUCACUUCGA